rnacentral:lncRNA from 1 species
CGGCGGCGGCGGCGUGGCCGUUGACGGCGGAGAUGGUGGGCAUCGGGAGGGACAUGAGGUCCGCGACCACGGGCUUGAAGAGGGCGACGAGGGACGAAAGGCGCUGGAGGGAGGCGGAGGGGGAUCCGGCGGCGUUGGCCCAAGCGAGGUCGAAGCCAUUGGAGAAGAACCGGCCCUCGGCGGCCGUGACGAGGGCGGAGCCGUUAGGUGCGGCGGCGUAUUCGGCGCGGACCUUGGCUAGGGCGGAUCGCACCGCCGCGAUGAGAUCGGCGUUGAGGCGGUGCUCGUUGUCGCCGGUGAGGCUGAGGACAUAGACGCGGCCACGCUUCUCCAGAGAACACAUCCUUGCUAUCUCGAUGCGUCUUCUCUGGGGGCGAUACGAGGAGC